rnacentral:rRNA from 1 species
UGCCCAUGUGCCCGGGAUAACUUCUGGAAACGGAUGCUAAAACCGGAUAGGUAGCAGACAAGCAUUUGACUGCUAUUAAAGUGGCUAAGGCCAUGAACAUGGAUGGACCUGCGGUGCAUUAGCUAGUUGGUGAGGUAACGGCCCACCAAGGCGACGAUGCAUAGCCGGCCUGAGAGGGCGGACGGCCACAUUGGGACUGAGACACGGCCCAAACUCCUACGGGAGGCAGCAUG